GACGAACGCUGGCGGCGUGCUUAACACAUGCAAGUCGAACGGAAAGGCCCUGCUUUUGUGGGGUGCUCGAGUGGCGCACGGGUGUGUAACACGUGAGUAUCCUGUCCUUGACUUUGGGAUAACUUCAGGAAACUGCGGCUAAUACCGGAUAGGAGCUCCUGCUGCGUGGUGGGGGUUGGAAAGUUUCGGCGGUUGGGGAUGGACUCGCGGCUUAUCCGCUUGUUUGUGGGGUAGUGGCUUACCAAGGCUUUGACGGGUAGGCGGCCUGAGAGGGUGACCGGCGACAUGGGGACUGAGAGACGGACCAGUCGGCUACGGGAGGCAGCAGUGGGGAAUAUUGCACAAUGGGCGGAAGCCUGAUGCAGCAACGCCGCGUGCGGGAUGACGGCCUUCGGGUUGUAAACCGCUGUCGCCUGUGACGAAGCGUGAGUGACGGUAAUGGGUAAAGAAGCACCGGCUAACUACGUG
rnacentral:rRNA from 1 species